rnacentral:rRNA from 1 species
GUGUCAGCCGCCGCGGUAAGACGGAGGGUGCAAACGUUGUUCGGAAUCACUGGGCGUAAAGGGCGCGCAGGCGGACUCGUAAGUCGGGAGUGAAAACUCGGGGCUCAACCCCGAGCCUGCUUCCGAAACUGCGAGUCUUGAGGACCGGAGAGGAAGGCGGAAUUCCCAGUGUAGCGGUGGAAUGCGUAGAUAUUGGGAAGAACACCAGUGGCGAAGGCGGCCUUCUGGACGGUACCUGACGCUGAGGCGCGAAAGCUAGGGGAGCAAACAGGAUUAGAAACCCCGGUAGUCC